CAGUUUUAUUUAAAAAAUGAGUAGGAGCUAUAAUCAGCCAUAAUAUUCAAAAAUUAUCAAAAACGUGUAUUUUGUUCCUGGAUAUCAUAUGAAGUGUAGUUCUAACUAUUCAUAAACAAAUGGACUUGUUAUGUAAUGGAAUAAGCAGUUUGCAAUCUAACUGAAAUAAUUACAUAUCAAUAUUUAUCCUCUCUCCUGUCUCCUUUAUCUUUUUAAUGCCAUUGUCACAGCUAAGCAUUAGAGAAAUAGAAAACAAACAAAAUCUAGGUCAUUGCUGGCAACUGGAGACACAAAUAGUUGAUAUUCCAACUUGAAAUUAUACAGCCAUAUUUGGGCAUUUGGACAUAUCUGAAAUUUUCCCUGCUGAAUCCAAUUCACCAACCCCAAUUUGGCCUCAGUGCCUAGGAGGCAGCUUGGGGUAAUGAAAAGAGCAUGAAUUUAUGAGGAAGACGGUUCUGGGUUAAAUUGUGUUUCAUCUCCGAGUUAAUUAUCCUCUCUGAGUCUCACUUUUUGCUUAAGUGAGUAAGAGUGCCUACCUUUUGCUGAGUAUUACACAUUUGUCUUGUAUUUGUCUUCUGGAACUUUAUACCUGCUAAGUCAUUGCAUCCUGACAACAUUAUUUGGAAGUUAAAUGAGAUAAUUUCUACACAUUCACAUAAUAGGCUUUCCAUAUAUGUUACUUACCUUAAUUUUACACUUAUCUGAAAUUAACUCAUCAGUAUCUGUCCCAAUUAGAGAACUAUGUAGGUUAAUGUAGAAGAAAAAACUCAUUUGCAGGACUGGGCAUUGUAACUUCACCUCACGAUCAAUGUAUUUAUGGGGCAAUAGCCAAUGUUUACAUCCACUUCUCCUUUACUUUCCUUAAUGCACUUAAUCCUCUUUUCACCCAUACUUUCUAUGAUAAACAGGCCUACAGCACCCGUUUGCAGAUAAAUAAAUACGUAAAUAAAUAAAUAAAUAGAUUCCCAGAGCCAGCUUGGAAGAACGGUUGAUAGUCUGAACCAUUACGGAGGUGAAAUUUCAUUACACAGAUGGUGACAUCCCGAUGUCUAUCAUCAAAACACAGCAGGUAGAAACCAUCAGCCAGGGCCAUUCCCUUCUAUAAAAUUACACUUAUAUUAAUGUCACUCCGGAUUUCAUUAUGCGGAAAAUGAUAUUGCACAGGUCUCCAGCACUAGGGGGGCGGCGGAGGGUGGGGGUGCUAGGGUGGUGAGGGAAGCAUAAGGGGCUGGGGUGGGAGAGUGGGAAAAACAACUGUCUGUGGAGAGACCACGGAAGCUAAUUCAGAGGAAGUCUGCCUAGGAAUGGCAGAUCGAAAAAAAAGAGUAUAUGCAUGUAUAUAUAAAUGUAUAUUUUAAAAUUCCUCGUAGAUUCUACUGCCAGUUCAUGCUGCUUCUUGAUUGACUCGCCGCCAGACGUCCUCCACAGGCCCCUGAUGGAAUGUUUAAAAGGCCCUCCUGUGGGAAGCAGGGAGAUUUACAGUUAAUUUUUAUUAAUGAAGGAUGACAGGCAUCUCCAUUUAGCCAACAAGAUAUUACACUGGUCCAAGAAAACGCCCCUGUAUUUGGAACAAGCAUCCUUAUCCCAUACCCCAACCCACCUCUCUCUCUCUCUCUCUUUCAUAGACACAGAGUCACAGGCGCACACACACACACACACCCCACACCACACACACACACACACGCAUGCACACACACACACACUCUUAAGCAUACACAUGGGCACCAGGUAAUUAAGAAUACAACAAAUUAAGAAACAAAGGAGAAUAUUUGCUUUUUUAUAUUCUGGUACUCCCCUAUCAAAAGAGAAAGGAAGGAAUGGGGAUUCUGUGAGUCUGGGGAUGGGUGAGUGGUGAGGGUCCGAUAGCAAAUGCUGCUCAUUCCUGCUGCUGCUUCCUGUUACUCGUCUGCAUUCCUACAUCUCAGCCCCCACCCCAUAUUCAUUCCCACUCUAGAGAAUUCGCUGCCAUUUCCGAAAUGAAUUAGGAUGCCACAUUAGUUUUGUAACUGGCCUAGUUACCCACCCUUGUGCUUCUUUGAUUUACUUCUCACCAUGCAGCAAGAAUUUUUUUUCGCCAUAAUCUGUUGCAUUUGUUCUCUGAUAAAAACCUUCAGGGAUUCUUUAGGCUUUCCAGAUCAAUAAAAAUUCCUCAAUAUGACCACCAGGAUACCUUAUGGUAGGGGUCCUGCCAAUAUAUUCAAGAAUUGGUUUAUUUAACGUAUUAAUCUUCAAUAAUUGGUUUAUUUAAAUAUUUAAAUAUCUCUUUUUUAAUCCACUAGUUUUUUGGUAGGAUACCCCCCUCCCACUCACAUAAGUUACUCAUUCUUCUAGGCUCAGUCCCACUCUUGUUAAUUUCAGGAUUAUCCCCCAACAUGAUUUUCUUCCUUCUUUAAGUGACCACUGACUAUUCACCAGUGUUGGGGAUGUAUAUGACUUAUGUCCCCAAUAAAUUCAAAUGUUUGGCAGUUAAGCUUCAUGUCCUAUUUUCACCCCAAUAUGCUGACUCUUUGAGAUAUGCCACCUUCACCCCUCUAAGCUCACUGAGGAAGUACCCUAUCCUGCAGUGUAUGACUUGCUCAUAUCAUCCCUUCCCAAGUGACAGCCAUGACAAACAGCCUGGUUUGAAUUCUAUUCAACCUUAAAUCAACUUAAAGAACAGGUCAUCUCUUAUCUUCUUAUCAUCCCUAUGAAACUUUCUUAUCCAGUAUUUUGACCUCCACUCAUCUCUUCUCUAUUUGUGUAAUAUUUAUAUAGCGUUCCGUAGAGUUUUAGGUAUAACUUAAAUUGUUUUUAAGAGAUGUAUAUUUGUCUGUUCUCAUUCAGUGGAAAAUAACCUCCAUUGGCUAUAGCAUUUUUUAAUCCCUCAGAAUACUAAUCUCAGAGUAGGCAGUAAAUAUAUGAGGAAUUGCUGAAGUGAGGAAUGAGUUAACCAAUAAACCAAUAAUAGUGUUCAGUAAGUAAUAGUUGGACACUUUAAAAAAAUUUUAAUGAACAUAUAGACAUAUAUGUAUAUGUUAUAUGCAUGUUAUAAACCUCAUUUCCCAUUCAUAUUGUUUUGCAAUUUUAAGAACCAUAAUUCUUCUUGUGACCGCUUUUCUGGGGCCACUUCAUGCCUCAAGAUUAGACAAUUAUAAUAUCAUUCUCUAACUGUAUGGGCUCCUCAGGUGUUCUUCACGGGGUUCCUUCAGCUCUUUUUCACACUUCUUUUAUAGAAAAUGGGAUGAAUUAAAUGACCAAAACUAGGAGCUUACUUUUAUAAUGUAGGCUACAGAACUUUACAAAAUCCAAUCGGUAUUUAAAUAGAUGCAAACUUAACUGAAGUUUUCAAACUUCAGGGUACCCACAGAUUAAUUAACCUGGGUGUUUGUUGUCCCUCCAAUAGAAAACUCACAAAUAUUUUAGUUCAGUGUGUUUGGAGGCAUCUCUUAAAUCCCAAUUUUAACAUGCAUGUGAUUCUCUGCAGGUGCUGUGCAAAGCACACUUUAAGAAAAAUUAGUUAGAGAUCAAUUAAAUAGAAAGGUAUGAGUAUGUAAGAGAAAUUAUUAAUCAGCAAAGCUAAACACCCACAAGUUUAUGCUCCAGUUUCCUCUACUACUGUCUAUGGGUCUUUUUCUCCUUCACUAACAAGAAAUUCUCAGUUUUAAAGUUUGUAUCAUUUUAUUCAUAUCUGCACUCCCCAUCAAAAACCAAGGUUAUAGAAUUAACCACUUUCCUGAUGGGAAUUUUCAUUUGCUAAGUCAUAUAACAUCCAAGCUUUAAUUCCAUUAGUUAUAUUUGAUAAUACAGUCUGAAUGGUUGCAGAUGGGUACAAUUGGUAUCUUCAAAUUGUGCUCCUUAAUUCAAAUUAAUCUUCAAUUGGUGGAGCAUAUGUGCAUUUUUUGUCACUGUAUUUCUUAACACUAGGCCUGUUCUAUUUUGUAAAUCUCACAUCCGCCUUCCAUUACCCAACUCUAAAAACACUUAGUAGAGAAAUGUAUACACACAAAAACAUGUAUACAGACACACACAUGCACACACAGAUAUGCACACACACACACCUCUGACUUCCAAAGAAAAAAUUAUUGUACAAUGCCCUAGCCUUAAACCUUACCAAAUCCUUGUUGUUGAUUAUAUUUAUAAAUGGCUUCAAACUUCCCUUAAUGUCACUAUCAUAAAGUCAUGCCUGAGUAAAAUAUUGAAUUGGCACAAUAUAUGCUUUACAUUAAAAAUUUGAUUUGUAGUAAUAAACAGCUAAUUCAAUUAAUUUGAAUUACACUCCUCAACUACGUGAAAUCCAUGUUAAAUUAAUUAAAACAAAAUGUAGAUACAAUAAAAUGCACCCAUUUUAAAUGUACAUUUUGGUGAAUUUUCACAACUGUACACAUAUAUUUACCUACCAUCACAAUUAAAUUUUAGAGCAUUUCCAUUAACCCCAAAUUUGUCUUGCACACCUUAAAAUUCAUUCAAUCUUUCUUCCUGGACACCUGGCAUCAGGCAAAUACUGAUCCAAUUAUAGUCUGUUUGCAUUUUCUAUAAUUUUAUAUACUAUAAUCAAAUAGUACAUACAUUUUUAUAUCUGCAUUAAGUUAGUAUGAUUUUUUUUUUUAAGACAGAGUCACUCUGUUGCCCAGGCUGGAGUGCAAUGGUACAAUCUUGGCUCACUGCAACCUCUGCAUACCCAGUUCAAGUGAUUCUCCUGCCUCAGCCUCCUAAUUAGCUGGGAUUAUAGGCACACCCCACCACAACCAGCUAAUUUUUUGUAUUUUUUUAUUUUUAGUAGAGACGGGGUGUCACUAUGUUGGUCAGGCUGGUGACCUGACCUCAUGAUCCACCCU
rnacentral:lncRNA from 10 species